GAUGAACGCUAGCGGCAGGCCUAAUACAUGCAAGUCGAGGGGCAGCGCGGUAGCAAUACUGGCGGCGACCGGCGCACGGGUGCGUAACACGUAUGCAACCUACCUUCAACUGGAGGAUAGCCCGGGGAAACUCGGAUUAAUACUCCAUAACACAGGGAUCCCGCAUGGGAAUAUUGUUAAAGCUACGGCGGUUGAAGAUGGGCAUGCGUUCGAUUAGCUAGUUGGUGUAGGUAACGGCUCACCAAGGCUACGAUCGAUAGGGGGUCUGAGAGGAUGAUCCCCCACACUGGUACUGAGAUACGGACCAGACUCCUACGGGAGCAGCAGUAGGGAAUAUUGGGUCAAUGGGCGCAAGCCUGAACCAGCCAUGCCGCGUGCAGGAAGAAGGCCCUCUGGGUUGUAAACUGCUUUUGAUAGGGAACAAAUGCCACUUGCGAGUGGAGCUGAGUGUACCUAUAGAAUAAGCACCGGCUAACUCCGUGCCAGCAGCCGACGG
rnacentral:rRNA from 1 species